rnacentral:piRNA from 6 species
GUUGGUGGUAUAGUGGUGAGCAUAG